GAAGUUACCAUGGUGGACAAGUAUCCUCUGCAUACAAGCAAUGGCUUUAAUUUGAAGUUUGUAUUUCCUUGCAGGGUUACAUAUGGAAAUGUGAAGACACUGAAGUCAGAAAUACUGCUGAAGGUACCAAGCAACAUCUGAUUUCAGCUACAGAUCAUGAAUUUUAGCCAUAGCAGCAACAGUGACCACAAAACAAACUCUUACUUUCCUGUGGGAUGUCACUGCAGAGCUACACCAUCAAUGCCUCUCCCUGUUGUGCACCAGUCAAACCUGCACAGAAGUGCCACUGGUUAUGUCCUCCCACAUCCGCCAAAGGAAAAUCCUGUAAGCAGGAGUGCUGGGCACAAAGAGCACAAGCAGGAACUUCUGAAUGUGAUGGAGCCCACCUGCACAGAACCAGACUGAAUCCAGCAAAUAUCUCUGGUUACACCCUAUAUACACUAAAGCUAAAUUUAGCCCUGUAUGCUUUACUUGCCAAACAAAUGUAAAAAUUUACUACCACUGAGUGUUGAUACUGCAUCAAAGAAGAGGGUCCACAUCUGAAUUAUCUGGAACAACAGUUCUCAAGCUACAUACAUUUAUAAAUUUAACUGAGUUGUGGACUUUAGUAAGGACUAAUGAAUAAGGUUCUUUGUACUAUAGGCUAAUGCACACAGGUAAUUUCUGGUUUGAACAGAGUGCUGCAGUUUCCUUUCCUUUCUGUAUUUUCCACUCUAUUCUGUAAAGAAUUUCAGUGGUUUGCCUUUUUCUUUGUGUUAAGAAUAAGCAGCUUCAGUUGAA